rnacentral:rRNA from 1 species
UUGCAAAGCACUCUGAAAAGAGGGUGAAAAGAACCUGAAACCGUUAUGUUGAGAGCGUAUUGCAGCAGAGUGAAGGGUGCGUUUUGUUCAGCUUGCGCUUGCGUAGGUGUACUCGGAACGUUAUCCGCCAGUCGUGAGCUUUCGGUGGCUGAUCCAUAGUCGCUGGAGGUGGAGGGCUCCCCUUUAUGGGUUGAGGACGAAUCUGGAUAAUGCUGUGAUUCGACCCGUCUUGAAACACGGACCAAGAAGUCUAGCGUGCAUGCGAGUCAAAGGGUGUAAAAACCUGUGGGCGCAGUGAAAGCGAUUUUAAAACGUUGCAGUUUGAGGCGGCAUACGAUCGUUGAUUGUAGGUCUGACCCCGAGCAUGUAUGAUAGGACCCGAAAGAUGGUGAACUAUGCUUGAGUAGGGUGAAGCCAGGAGAAAUCCUGGUGGAAGCUCGUAGCGGUGCUGACGUGCAAAUCGCUCGUCUAACUUGAGUAUAGGGGCGAAAGACUAAUCGAACCAUCUGGUAGCUGGUUUCCUCCGAAGUUUCUCUCAGGAUAGCGGACCGAAUAUAGUGUUGUUGUGUGC